rnacentral:rRNA from 1 species
GAUGAACGCUGGCGGCGUGCUUAACACAUGCAAGUCGAACGGUGAACGAGGGAGCUUGCUCCCUCCGGAUCAGUGGCGAACGGGUGAGUAACACGUGAGCAAUCUGCCCCGAACUCUGGGAUAAGCGUUGGAAACGACGUCUAAUACCGGAUACGAGCUGCGAAGGCAUCUUCUGCAGUUGGAAAGAAUUUCGGUUCGGGAUGAGCUCGCGGCCUAUCAGCUAGUUGGUGAGGUAACGGCUCACCAAGGCGACGACGGGUAGCCGGCCUGGGAGGGUGACCGGCCACACUGGGACUGAGACACGGCCCAGACUCCUACGGGAGGCAGCAGUGGGGAAUAUUGCACAAUGGGCGCAAGCCUGAUGCAGCAACGCCGCGUGAGGGACGACGGCCUUCGGGUUGUAAACCUCUUUUAGUAGGGAAGAAGCGAAAGUGACGGUACCUGCAGAAAAAGCACCGGCUAACUACGUGCCAGCCGCCGCCGUAAAAC